rnacentral:rRNA from 1 species
UAGGGAAUAUUGGGCAAUGGGUGAGAGCCUGAUCCAGCCAUGCCGCGUGCAGGAAGAAGGCGUUAUGCGUUGUAAACUGCUUUUGUCAGGGGAUAAAAUGACCGUGCGCGGUUAAUUGAAGGUACCUGGUGAAUAAGCCACGGCUAACUACGUGCCAGCAGCCGCGGUAAUACGUAGGUGGCAAGCGUUGUCCGGAUUUAUUGGGUUUAAAGGGUGCGUAGGUGGCCCUGUAAGUCAGUGGUGAAAUAUCUCAGCUUAACUGAGAGGGUGCCAUUGAUACUGCAGGGCUUGAGUACAGAUGAGGUAGGCGGAAUUGACGGUGUAGCGGUGAAAUGCAUAGAUAUCGUCAAGAACACCGAUAGCGAAGGCAGCUUACCAAGCUGUAACUGACACUGAGGCACGAAAGUGUGGGGAUCAAACAGGAUUAGAUACCCCGGUAGUCCCUGAGCGGGCUGGCAAGGCGCAU